UACGAAGGGGGCUAGCGUUGUUCGGAAUUACUGGGCGUAAAGCGCGCGCAGGCGGUUCUUCAAGUCAGAGGUGAAAGCCCAGGGCUCAACCCUGGAAUGGCCUUUGAGACUAGAGGACUAGGGUACGGGAGAGGUGAGUGGAAUUCCGAGUGUAGAGGUGAAAUUCGUAGAUAUUCGGAAGAACACCAGUGGCGAAGGCGGCUCUCUGGGACGGUACUGACGCUGAGACGCGAAAGCGUGGGGAGCGAACAGG
rnacentral:rRNA from 1 species